AUGAGGACAACCGCCGCUUCCUCCAGAUGCUCCGACAAAAAAAGGAAAGUCUGGGAGUCGCCGGGCCCAAGGUGGAGGUGCGGUUCGAUGAUCUCGCCGUGGAGGCACACGUCCGCAUCGGCCGCCGGGAGCUGCCGACGCUGCUCAACUGCGCCGUCAACGCCGCACAGGUCAUUUUUUCAUAUGUAUUCUAGAAGGAAAGGAGCAAUCAAAAUCAUAAAUGAAGCAAGCGGCAAAAUUCGACCAUCAAGGAUGACACUUCUUCUCGGAGCGCCCGGUUCUGGGAAGACAACAUUUUUGAAGGCAUUGGCAGGAAAGUUGGAUUCAUCCCUAAAGGUAAGGAAAGAUCACAUACAAUGA
rnacentral:rRNA from 1 species